rnacentral:rRNA from 1 species
GUGAGGAAUAUUGGUCAAUGGGCGGAAGCCUGAACCAGCCAAGUAGCGUGCAGGAUGACGGCCCUAUGGGUUGUAAACUGCUUUUAUACAGGAAUAAAGUUAGUCACGUGUGGUUAUUUGUAGGUACUGUAUGAAUAAGGACCGGCUAAUUCCGUGCCAGCAGCCGCGGUAAUACGGAAGGUCCAGGCGUUAUCCGGAUUUAUUGGGUUUAAAGGGAGCGUAGGCCGUCUGUUAAGCGUGUUGUGAAAUGUAGAUGCUCAACAUCUGAAUUGCAGCGCGAACUGGCAGACUUGAGUGUGCGCAACGUAGGCGGAAUUCGUGGUGUAGCGGUGAAAUGCUUAGAUAUCACGAAGAACUCCGAUUGCGAAGGCAGCUUACGGGAGCACAACUGACGCUGAAGCUCGAAAGUGCGGGUAUCGAACAGGAUUAGAAACCCGUGUAGUCC